GGGUGAUUAGUCUUAAAAUAAAACAUUUGGUUUCGGCCCAAAAGCUUGCGGUUAAACCCCGUAAUUACCCC
rnacentral:tRNA from 1 species